GCUUUCUUGGUGGAUUUUUGUGGUGCAAAGCAGAUGGCUGUGCUCCUGCCAUCUUUUCAGAAAAGAAUACAUUAAGGGUAGUGCCCCACUGGCUCUUUGAUAAGACGGGUCUGAAAUCAUCAAAGGCUGUGCCUCUUCUUUCCAUCAAAAAGUACAAGAAGGGCCUAUAGAGACCACUGUCUAUGGAAGAUGAUAACAGUAAUUAGCCUUUAUGAUAGAUAAAUCUUCAUCCUCUGAUGAUCAAAGACAGCUAAAAUUAUCAAAUUAUAUGUGGCAGUUUUGUAAUAUGAAUAAAAUGAAGCAACUUUAUAAUCUCUAUGAUCUUGCUACAUAGAGCAUUAACUCUGUUGUAAGUGCACUUAACAUUAGUUUGGUUGCCUGUUUCAAACACAGUAUUUUUUGUUAAAAAUACUUCUCUAUUUAAUCAGUUAUUCUUCAUACAAUGGAAUGAUUUGAUAAAGUACAUGAGAAAAGGGAUCAGCAGUAGGGGAAUAGGAAAAUUUCAUUGUCUUUCCCCAUUUCUCUUUCCUUCCUUUUGUUUUGAUGUGUGUUUUUCUGCUACUUCCCCCUUGCAUGUCUGCUACAGUCUUCUUAGGAGCAGCCUCUCUGGGUAUCGAGCAGGAGGUGGGACUCCUUGACCUCUCUCAAAAUCAGUUUUAUCUGGAGAAGAGGAGCCAAUCAUCCAGCAAAACUGAUGUAGAAGAUGGCUUUCCAUGAAUGUACAAAUACUUCUGUGAUGUUUGUGACCUCAUCUUCACCAGCUUCUUUUUGAAUCAUAGUCCUUAGCAUAUUUCUCUCUCUCAUGGACAAGACAAGGACCACAUCAAAGUCAACUCAAAAACAGCAGCAACACAGUGAUUAAGCACUGAACUAGCAUGAGUUUGUGGUUUGGUAUUGCUACCAUCUGUCUUUGCCUUUCUGACACAGAGCUCCAAGUUUUCUGCUGAGGAAGGUCUUUGGAUGUUGUUUCCCUAUAUGGAUAUAUGUCGAUGCAAUUUGUUGAGCUGUCUUGUCUUCAUGUCUUUCUUACCAUUGGGAUAAUAGUAAUUAAGUAAUUGCACAAGUAGGCUGGAGUGUGAUGCCCUCUAAUGCUACAUUUGCCCAAAUGAACAUGAGGGCCUUAAAUGAAGACUUAUUCCUGCAUUCCUGAUCAUUCUCAGUGGAGGAAAAAAAAGAAAAUGAAAAAAUAUAGCUACACUUGGAUUUUGGGACAUGUUCUGCAAUGGUGAAUAAUAGAUUUGAUCAUUUUAAUGAGGCCAUCAUAUAGCUAUUAUUGUCUGUCAUGUCUAAGCCAGGAAAUGUAAGCAUCCUGAGAUAUUUGAUUGUGGAGAACUUAUGAUCCAAUUAAUUGAAUAUGAACUAUUAAUGAAUUGCAGCAUUCAGAGAGUGCAUGGUAAACAUAACCUAGGAGUGAACUGGGUUGAAUGUUCUAGGUUGAAUGUUUCUUUGUGGUUAUGACUGAGAGUAAAUCAUUUAAAAGAAGCAGUCAUUUAUAGAAUCAUAUUGAGGUCGGAAAAGACCUCUGAGAUCAUCCAGUCCAACCAUCCACCUACCACCAAUAUUUCCCUGCUAGAUCAUGUCCCUUGGUACAACAUCUAAACAUUUCUUGAACACCUCCAGAAAGGAUGACUCAACCUCCCUGGGCAGCUCGUUCCAGUGACUAACUGCUCUUUUGAGAAGAAAUUUUUCGUAAAAUCAAACCUGAAUCUCCCGUGGUGCAACUUGACAGCAUUCCCUCUAGUCCUAUCACUAGUAAUGUGGGAGAAGAGGUUGGCCCCCACCUCAUCACAACCUCCUCUCAGGUAGUUGUAGAGAGCUAUACAUGAUAUGCUAUGCAUUUUUCAUCAGUGACCUAGUGACACAUCAAGUAUCAGCAUAAUAGUCCAGAAAAAGCCGCCUCUUUCCAUUGCUAGACUGUCUGUCUGAGCCAACAACCUCAUUUUUGAUGCUCUUUGUUGUAGCCAGCUGUUUAAUGUUGAGAUUUUUCCAUUCUAAACUUACUCUUGGACUACAGCAUUCAGCCAGCAUGAAAACACACAGGAGGUUCUUCUCCAGAAAGUAAAUAAUAGAAUAGCUUCCCUUGGAAGCACAGUAGCUGUCUGGAUAGGUAGUAAAUGCAGAAAGCAAUCUCAAGUCAAAGGUUCAAAUAAAAUGAAUCUUACUCCAGUUUACA
rnacentral:lncRNA from 1 species